UACGAAGGGGGCUAGCGUUGCUCGGAAUUACUGGGCGUAAAGGGCGCGUAGGCGGACAGUUUAGUCAGAGGUGAAAGCCCAGGGCUCAACCUUGGAAUAGCCUUUGAUACUGACUGUCUUGAGUUCGGGAGAGGUGAGUGGAAUGCCGAGUGUAGAGGUGAAAUUCGUAGAUAUUCGCAAGAACACCAGUGGCGAAGGCGGCUCACUGGCCCGAUACUGACGCUGAGGCACGGAAAGCGUGGGGAGCAAACAGG
rnacentral:rRNA from 1 species